CUGACACAGCAUCCCCCAGGCUGAGAAGAAAGUAUCCUUGCAAGAAAGUUUCUGUUCUUCAGAUAUUUAUAAAUAAGUUCAACAGCCAUCUGCCUUGACUGCUUUGACCAACCUGCUGCCUGAUCAAGAAGAAAGAUAUAUUGGCUACUAGUAAGGAAAACGAGGUUGGCAAUCAUGAGACAUGUGGGGAGGGUAUUGGACCGAUCAAGAAAAGAGAAGACAGUGGCUCAAGACAGGAUGGUGGUAGUGGAGAAGUGUUUCCUGGGAUCACCUCCGAAGUAAGGUACUUAUACUCACAUGCUCACCUGGUGACUGCUUCUUGGGGAACCCCACUUAAGAGUGGGCAGGUCAUCUCUUCCCUCUGAGUCUCUAGUCCAGGGUAUAAUAUCUUCUGUUGUCUCAAAUGAGGGUGCAUGGGACAAGAUGAGG